rnacentral:rRNA from 1 species
CAAUAGCGUAUAUUAAAGUUGUUGCAGUUAAAAAGCUCGUAGUUGAACUUUGGGCCUGGCAGGCCGGUCCGCUUUUUGGCGAGUACUGACCCUGCCGGGCCUUUCCUUCUGGCUAACCUCCCCUCUGGAGAGGCGAACCAGGACUUUUACUUUGAAAAAAUUAGAGUGUUCAAAGCAGGCCUUUGCUCGAAUAUAUUAGCAUGGAAUAAUAGAAUAGGACGUUUGGUUCUAUUUUGUUGGUUUCUAGGACCAUCGUAAUGAUUAAUAGGGACGGUCGGGGGCAUCAGUAUUCAGUUGCCAGAGGUGAAAUUCUUGGAUUUACUGAAGACUAACUACUGCGAAAGCAUUUGCCAAGGACGUUUUCAUUAA